rnacentral:precursor_RNA from 8 species
AGGUCAGACAUGACAUUCAGACUGAUGUCCUCAAAACUGAGGGGCAUUUUCUGUGAUUUGAAAGGAAAGUGCACCCAGUUUUGGGGAUGUCAAUUGUGAAUACUCAUCAUAACCCA